UACGUAGGGUGCGAGCGUUGUCCGGAAUUAUUGGGCGUAAAGGGCUCGUAGGCGGUUUGUCGCGUCGGGAGUGAAAACCCAGGGCUUAACCCUGGGCCUGCUUCCGAUACGGGCAGACUAGAGGUAUGCAGGGGGAGAACGGAAUUCCUGGUGUAGCGGUGAAAUGCGCAGAUAUCAGGAGGAACACCGGUGGCGAAGGCGGUUCUCUGGGCAUUACCUGACGCUGAGGAGCGAAAGUGUGGGGAGCGAACAGG
rnacentral:rRNA from 1 species